AGGAUCAAGUAUGACAAGAGCAUUUGGUGGAUGCCUUGGCACAGAGAGGCGAUGAAGGACGUAACACGCUGCGAAAAGUUCUGGGGAGCUGCGAGUAGGCUUUGAUCCAGAAAUGUCCGAAUGGGAAAACCCACACCGUAUGGUGUAUCGCUAACUGAAUACAUAGGUUAGCGAGGCAAACCCGGGGAACUGAAACAUCUAAGUACCCGGAGGAAAGGAAAUCAACCGAGACUCCGCUAGUAGUGGCGAGCGAACGCGGACUAGGCCAGUUCUUUACUUUUUUAAAUUAGAAUCACUUGGAAAGGUGAGCCAUAGAGGGUGAUAGCCCCGUAUGAGGUGAUAAAGAAGUAAAGGCACGAGUAGGGCGGGACACGUGAAAUCCUGUCUGAACAUGGGGGGACCACCCUCCAAGCCUAAGUACUCCUCUGUGACCGAUAGUGAACAAGUACCGUGAGGGAAAGGUGAAAAGAACCCCAAUGAGGGGAGUGAAAAAGUACCUGAAACCGAAUGCUUACAAACAGUUCGAGCCCGCAAGGGUGAGAGCGUACCUUUUGUAUAAUGGGUCAGCGAGUUCGUUUAUGUAGCAAGCUUAAGCCGAUAGGUGGAGGCGAAGCGAAAGCGAGUCUGAAUAGGGCGACAUAGUUACAUGAAUGAGACCCGAAACCUAGUGAUCUAGCCAUGGCCAGGCUGAAGGUGGGGUAACACCCACUGGAGGGCCGAACCCACGCCUGUUGAAAAAGUCGGGGAUGAGCUGUGGUUAGGGGUGAAAGGCCAAUCAAACUAGGAAAUAGCUGGUUCUCCGCGAAAUCUAUUUAGGUAGAGCCUUAAGUGAUGACCUUCGGGGGUAGAGCACUGGAUGAGCUAGGGGGGCGCGAGCCUUACCAACCUUAACCAAACUCCGAAUACCGAAGAGUUUAACUUAGGAGGCAGUCCAUGGGUGCUAAGGUCCGUGGACGAGAGGGAAAAAGCCCAGACCAUCCGCUAAGGUCCCCAAGUGGUGACUAAGUUGGAAAGGAUGUGGGAAGGCCAAGACAGCCAGGAGGUUGGCUUAGAAGCAGCCAUCCUUUAAAGAAAGCGUAAUAGCUCACUGGUCUAGUUAAGCCGGCCUGCGCCGAAAAUGUAACGGGGAUUAAGUCAUCCACCGAAGCGAUGGGUGUGUCUUUGACACGCGGUAGCGGAGCGUUCCGUAAGUCUGUGAAGGUUGACUCGUGAGAGCAGCUGGAGAUAUCGGAAGUGAGAAUGCUGACAUGAGUAACGAUAAAGAGUGUGAGAAACACUCUCGCCGAAAGUCCAAGGGUUCCUGCGCAAGGUUAAUCCGCGCAGGGUGAGCCGGUCCCUAAGGUGAGGCCGAAAGGCGUAGUCGAUGGGAAUGCGGUUAAUAUUCCGCAGCCUGCUGGUGGUGACGGCGUUGCAAGAGAGUUUGAGGUAAUCGGAUUGCGAUGGCUCUUGCGUAGCGUCCAGGAAAUAGCCCCAGCGUAUAGUCCGUACCCUAAACCGACACAGGUGGACGAGAUGAGUAUUCUAAGGCGCUUGAGAGAAUGAUGUUGAAGGAACUCGGCAAAUUGCCCUCGUAACUUCGGGAUAAGAGGGCCCCGCUUGAACGCAAGUUUGGGCGGGGGGCACAGAAUUGGGGGUGGCGACUGUUUAUCAAAAACACAGGACUCUGCGAAGACUAUCAGGUCGACGUAUAGGGUCUGACGCCUGCCCGGUGCUGGAAGGUUAAGAGGAGGAGUGCAAGCUCUGAAUCGAAGCCCCAGUAAACGGCGGCCGUAACUAUAACGGUCCUAAGGUAGCGAAAUUCCUUGUCGGGUAAGUUCCGACCUGCACGAAUGGCGUAACGACUUCC
rnacentral:rRNA from 1 species